rnacentral:rRNA from 1 species
AAACUAACAAGGAUUCCCCUAGUAACGGCGAGUGAAGCGGGAAGAGCUCAAAUUUGAAAUCUGGUAGCCUUCGGUUGCCCGAGUUGUAAUCUAGAGAAGUGUUUUCCGCGUUGGCCCAUGUACAAGUCCCUUGGAACAGGGCGUCAUAGAGGGUGAGAAUCCCGUCCUUGACAUGGACCCCCAAUGCUUUGUGAUACACUUUCAACGAGUCGAGUUGUUUGGGAAUGCAGCUCAAAAUGGGUGGUGAAUUCCAUCUAAAGCUAAAUAUUGGCGAGAGACCGAUAGCGAACAAGUACCGUGAGGGAAAGAUGAAAAGCACUUUGGAAAGAGAGUUAAACAGUACGUGAAAUUGUUGAAAGGGAAACGAUUGAAGUCAGUCAUGCUCUUUGGAUUAAGCCGUUCUGCGGUGUAUUUCAUUGAGCGGGGUCAACAUCAGUUUUGAUCGCUGGAAAAGGGCAGGAGGAAGGUAGCACUCUCGGGGUGAACUUAUAGCCUCUUGUCGUAUACAGUGAUUGGGACUGAGGAACGCAGCAUGCCUUUUGGCCGGGAUUCGUCCACGUACAUGCUUAGGAUGUUGACAUAAUGGCUUUAAACGACCCGUCUUGAAACACG